GACGUAGGGCGCGAGCGUUGUCCGGAAUUAUUGGGCGUAAAGAGCUCGUAGGCGGUCCGUCACGUCGGAUGUGAAAUUCCAGGGCUCAACCCUGGACCUGCAUUCGAUACGGGCGGACUAGAGUUCGGUAGGGGAGACUGGAAUUCCUGGUGUAGCGGUGAAAUGCGCAGAUAUCAGGAGGAACACCGGUGGCGAAGGCGGGUCUCUGGGCCGAUACUGACGCUGAGGAGCGAAAGCGUGGGGAGCGAACAGG
rnacentral:rRNA from 1 species